rnacentral:rRNA from 1 species
AAGAAAUCAACCGAGAUUCCCCCAGUAGCGGCGAGCGAACGGGGAGCAGCCCAGAGCCUGAAUCAGUGUGUGUGUUAGUGGAAGCGUCUGGAAAGGCGCGCGAUACAGGGUGACAGCCCCGUACACAAAAAUGCACAUAUUGUGAGCUCGAUGAGUAGGGCGGGACACGUGGUAUCCUGUCUGAAUAUGGGGGGACCAUCCUCCAAGGCUAAAUACUCCUGACUGACCGAUAGUGAACCAGUACCGUGAGGGAAAGGCGAAAAGAACCCCGGCGAGGGGAGUGAAAAAGAACCUGAAACCGUGUACGUACAAGCAGUGGGAGCACAGAGCAAUCUGUGUGACUGCGUACCUUUUGUAUAAUGGGUCAGCGACUUAUAUUCUGUAGCAAGGUUAACCGAAUAGGGGAGCCGAAGGGAAACCGAGUCUUAACUGGGCGUUAAGUUGCAGGGUAUAGACCCGAAACCCGGUGAUCUAGCCAUGGGCAGGUUGAAGGUUGGGUAACACUAACUGGAGGACCGAACCGACUAAUGUUGAAAAAUUAGCGGAUGACUUGUGGCUGGGGGUGAAAGGCCAAUCAAACCGGGAGAUAGCUGGUUCUCCCCGAAAGCUAUUUAGGUAGCGCCUCGUGAAUUCAUCUCCGGGGGUAGAGCACUGUUUCGGCAAGGGGGUCAUCCCGACUUACCAACCCGAUGCAAACUGCGAAUACCGGAGAAUGUUAUCACGGGAGACACACGGCGGGUGCUAACGUCCGUCGUGAAGAGGGAAACAACCCAGACCGCCAGCUAAGGUCCCAAAGUCAUGGUUAAGUGGGAAACGAUGUGGGAAGGCCCAGACAGCCAGGAUGUUGGCUUAGAAGCAGCCAUCAUUUAAAGAAAGCGUAAUAGCUCACUGGUCGAGUCGGCCUGCGCGGAAGAUGUAACGGGGCUAAACCAUGCACCGAAGCUGCGGCAGCGACACUGUGUGUUGUUGGGUAGGGGAGCGUUCUGUAAGCCUGUGAAGGUGUACUGUGAGGUAUGCUGGAGGUAUCAGAAGUGCGAAUGCUGACAUAAGUAACGAUAAAGCGGGUGAAAAGCCCGCUCGCCGGAAGACCAAGGGUUCCUGUCCAACGUUAAUCGGGGCAGGGUGAGUCGACCCCUAAGGCGAGGCCGAAAGGCGUAGUCGAUGGGAAACAGGUUAAUAUUCCUGUACUUGGUGUUACUGCGAAGGGGGGACGGAGAAGGCUAUGUUGGCCGGGCGACGGUUGUCCCGGUUUAAGCGUGUAGGCUGGUUUUCCAGGCAAAUCCGGAAAAUCAAGGCUGAGGCGUGAUGACGAGGCACUACGGUGCUGAAGCAACAAAUGCCCUGCUUCCAGGAAAAGCCUCUAAGCAUCAGGUAACAUCAAAUCGUACCCCAAACCGACACAGGUGGUCAGGUAGAGAAUACCAAGGCGCUUGAGAGAACUCGGGUGAAGGAACUAGGCAAAAUGGUGCCGUAACUUCGGGAGAAGGCACGCUGAUAUGUAGGUGAAGCGACUUGCUCGUGGAGCUGAAAUCAGUCGAAGAUACCAGCUGGCUGCAACUGUUUAUUAAAAACACAGCACUGUGCAAACACGAAAGUGGACGUAUACGGUGUGACGCCUGCCCGGUGCCGGAAGGUUAAUUGAUGGGGUCAGCGCAAGCGAAGCUCUUGAUCGAAGCCCCGGUAAACGGCGGCCGUAACUAUAACGGUCCUAAGGUAGCGAAAUUCCUUGUCGGGUAAGUUCCGACCUGCACGAAUGGCGUAAUGAUGGCCAGGCUGUCUCCACCCGAGACUCAGUGAAAUUGAACUCGCUGUGAAGAUGCAGUGUACCCGCGGCAAGACGGAAAGACCCCGUGAACCUUUACUAUAGCUUGACACUGAACAUUGAGCCUUGAUGUGUAGGAUAGGUGGGAGGCUUUGAAGUGUGGACGCCAGUCUGCAUGGAGCCGACCUUGAAAUACCACCCUUUAAUGUUUGAUGUUCUAACGUUGACCCGUGAUCCGGGUUGCGGACAGUGUCUGGUGGGUAGUUUGACUGGGGCGGUCUCCUCCUAAAGAGUAACGGAGGAGCACGAAGGUUGGCUAAUCCUGGUCGGACAUCAGGAGGUUAGUGCAAUGGCAUAAGCCAGCUUGACUGCGAGCGUGACGGCGCGAGCAGGUGCGAAAGCAGGUCAUAGUGAUCCGGUGGUUCUGAAUGGAAGGGCCAUCGCUCAACGGAUAAAAGGUACUCCGGGGAUAACAGGCUGAUACCGCCCAAGAGUUCAUAUCGACGGCGGUGUUUGGCACCUCGAUGUCGGCUCAUCACAUCCUGGGGCUGAAGUAGGUCCCAAGGGUAUGGCUGUUCGCCAUUUAAAGUGGUACGCGAGCUGGGUUUAGAACGUCGUGAGACAGUUCGGUCCCUAUCUGCCGUGGGCGCUGGAGAACUGAGGGGGGCUGCUCCUAGUACGAGAGGACCGGAGUGGACGCAUCACUGGUGUUCGGGUUGUCAUGCCAAUGGCACUGCCCGGUAGCUAAAUGCGGAAGAGAUAAGUGCUGAAAGCAUCUAAGCACGAAACUUGCCCCGAGAUGAGUUCU